UACGAAGGGGGCUAGCGUUGCUCGGAAUCACUGGGCGUAAAGAGUGCGUAGGCGGGUCUUUAAGUCAGGGGUGAAAUCCUGGAGCUCAACUCCAGAACUGCCUUUGAUACUGAGGAUCUUGAGUUCGGGAGAGGUGAGUGGAACUGCGAGUGUAGAGGUGAAAUUCGUAGAUAUUCGGAGGAACACCAGAAGCGAAGGCGGCCAACUGGCCCGAUACUGACGCUGAGGCGCGAAAGCGUGGGGAGCAAACAGG
rnacentral:rRNA from 1 species